rnacentral:rRNA from 1 species
GCUAGCGUUAUCCGGAUUUACUGGGCGUAAAGGGGGCGUAGGCGGUCUUUCAAGUCAGGAGUGAAAGGCUACGGCUCAACCGUAGUAAGCUCUUGAAACUGGGAGACUUGAGUGCAGGAGAGGAGAGGGGAAUUCCUAGUGUAGCGGUGAAAUGCGUAGAUAUUAGGAGGAACACCAGUUGCGAAGGCGGCUCUCUGGACUGUAACUGACGCUGAGGCACGAAAGCGUGGGGAGCAAACAGGAUUAGAUACCCUGGUAGUCCACGCUGUAAACGAUGAGUACUAGGUGUCGGGGGUUACCCCC